rnacentral:lncRNA from 1 species
GCGAGGGAGGCGCAGCAAUGGCUCCCCCUUUCACUGACCUCACGUCUGCACGUACUGACGCUGGAAAUGUGUCGCUGGACAGGAAGUUGUCUCAGAUUGUGGAGCAGCAGAGGAUUGGUUCAGGAGAGAGAGAGUCCAGAGAACGUCUGUCCUCACCAAUCAAAAAGGCAAUGCAGAAGGAUGACCCGGCCAUGGUCGAUCUGUAUGAGCAGCAGAGAAAGCUGGAGGACAACCAGUGUUUACUGGCAGAGCUGGCACGCAUUGAGCAGGAGUUGCGGGAGACCCUGCGGUCGGAGGAGGAGCGUCAGAAGAUGGAAGAACAGCUGCGCCAGGAGGAGAACCGGCAGCGCUGGAAGAGCCUGUGCUACCUCAGCCUCAAUCAGAGAACCACAAAGCCCUGGGUGACAAGCUAUUACAAAAACAUCCCGAUGCACAUCUACUGCCUCCCCAUUAACUCGGUGCACAAGAACAGCAAGAAGAAAAGGAAGAAGAAGUCAUGAUGAUGAUGUGAAAUUGAACUGUUUUUGAUCACGUCAACAAGAUGUUGGCUUGAAGAUGUUCAUAACCUUUCCUACUUGUUAAAGUUUCAUCAUUGAAAGGUGCCUUGCCAACAAAUUUUUUAGGCAUUUGAUUUAUGAUGGCAUUUAGUAUGUUAGUUUCAUAAUUUAUAAUACGAUAAUAGGAAGAAGCCAUAGAACCACCAGUGUUAAUAAAGCACAUCCAGCUCACUGAAUGCA